UACGUAGGGUGCGAGCGUUAAUCGGAAUACUGGGCGUAAAGCGUGCGCAGGCGGUGAUGUAAGACAGGUGUGAAAUCCCCGGGCUUAACCUGGGAACUGCAUUUGUGACUGCAUCGCUGGAGUGCGGCAGAGGGGGAUGGAAUUCCGCGUGUAGCAGUGAAAUGCGUAGAUAUGCGGAGGAACACCGAUGGCGAAGGCAAUCCCCUGGGCCUGCACUGACGCUCAUGCACGAAAAGCGUGGGGAGCAAACAGG
rnacentral:rRNA from 1 species